rnacentral:rRNA from 1 species
CACGUAGGCACCAAGCGUUGUCCGGAUUUAUUGGGCGUAAAGAGCUCGUAGGCGGUUCAGUAAGUCGGGUGUGAAAACUCUGGGCUCAACCCAGAGAGGCCACCCGAUACUGCUGUGACUUGAGUACGGUAGGGGAGUGGGGAAUUCCUGGUGUAGCGGUGAAAUGCGCAGAUAUCAGGAGGAACACCAGUGGCGAAGGCGCCACUCUGGGCCGUAACUGACGCUGAGGAGCGAAAGCGUGGGUAGCAAACAGG